CAGCAGAUCAUAGAGAAUGGGACUCUGUGCUGCAGGUGGGGACAGGGAGCCCGAGCUGUGCUGAGAAAUCCCUUAUUGAGCAGAGUGGGAACUGGGACGCAGAGAGGUAACAGGCCUAGGUCGUGGCCUGUCUGCAGAAGACAGACAUGCGGACACAAUGCCAGGGACACAGUGCAUUACCUAGGGCAAGGCCGGCAGGCUUGCACAACCUCAGGGGGCACCAAGCACACAGAGCGUGAUGGGACAGCUGGCCUCAGAUCUGUGUAGCACUGCUGCCCCGUUCGUGGAGGGGAAGACCCAGCCUGGGCUUGGAGACAGCUGGAGGUCUGUAGGUGGAGAAGGAGUCAGAGGGUGUGAGGGUGUUCAUCCCCCAGGCUUCAGGCUGGCAGUGAGGCCUCCAGUGAGGGCAUCUGUGUGCCCGCGAGAGGGACAGGGUAAAUGGCUGAGCCAGGACCUUGGAAAUUUUCAUUCUAAAUUAGUCUCCAGGCUCAACUUCUUGCCAUCAUAGCUCAGUCAAGAGAACUGAUCUCAAUUUUUUACUCUAUUGGAGAAAUGAAGAGAACUUUCCAGGCCUCUAGAGGUGGAAUGGCAGAGUGUUUAGGUUGUGGAUGCUUAACCAAGCAAUCCAUGGAUAAUGGGACAAAGCCCCUGACGAACGAUACAACACUGUGGAUGUCCCCACCCCAAAUGCAACCCCUGAGUCUGGGGACCAGCAGACAAUUUCUCAAGUCAAGAGACAUUUACAAAAAUAAGUGGCAUGGAACUUUAAAAUGCUGAUGAUAUGGAAGGCCAACUAAGGCCAAGCACGGGGCCAGGUGAGAAGAGAGUAAAGAGACAUGAG
rnacentral:lncRNA from 1 species